rnacentral:rRNA from 1 species
AACGUAGGAGGCGAGCGUUAUCCGGAUUUACUGGGCGUAAAGCGCGCGCAGGCGGCGUCUCAAGUCGGAUGUGAAAUCUCCUGGCCUAACUGGGAGGCUGCGUUCGAAACUGAGGCGCUUGAGGUCAGUAGGGGGGAGUGGAAUUCCAGGUGUAGUGGUAAAAUGCGUAGAUAUCUGGAGGAACACCAGUGGCGAAGGCGGCUCCCUGGACUGCACCUGACGCUGAGGCGCGAAAGCGUGGGGAGCGAAC